AUUGAACGCUGGCGGCAGGCCUAACACAUGCAAGUCGAGCGGUAGAGAGAAGCUUGCUUCUCUUGAGAGCGGCGGACGGGUGAGUAAUGCCUAGGAAUCUGCCUGGUAGUGGGGGAUAACGUUCGGAAACGGACGCUAAUACCGCAUACGUCCUACGAGAGAAAGCAGGGGACCUUCGGGCCUUGCGCUAUCAGGUGAGCCUAAGUCGGAUUAGCUAGUUGGUGGGGUAAUGGCUCACCAAGGCGACGAUCCGUAACUGGUCUGAGAGGAUGAUCAGUCACACUGGAACUGAGACACGGUCCAGACUCCUACGGGAGGCAGCAGUGGGGAAUAUUGGACAAUGGGCGAAAGCCUGAUCCAGCCAUGCCGCGUGUGUGAAGAAGGUCUUCGGAUUGUAAAGCACUUUAAGUUGGGAGGAAGGGCAGUAAAUUAAUACUUUGCUGUUUUGACGUUACCGACAGAAUAAGCACCGGCUAACUCUGUGCCAGCCGCCGCCGUAA
rnacentral:rRNA from 1 species